AGCUGUCGCUAUGGGAUGGCCCCGCGGUGCAUUAGCUAGUUGGUAAGGUAACNGGCUUACCAAGGCGAUGAUGCAUAGCCGAGNUUGAGAGACUGAUCGGCCACAUUGGGACUGAGACACGGCCCAAACUCCUACGGGAGGCAGCAGUAGGGAAUCUUCCACAAUGGACGCAAGUCUGAUGGAGCAACGCCGCGUGAGUGAAGAAGGUUUUCGGAUCGUAAAGCUCUGUUGUUGGUGAAGAAGGAUAGAGGUAGUA
rnacentral:rRNA from 1 species